AUCGCUUCUCGGCGUUUUGGCUAAGAUCAAGUGUAGUAUCUGUUCUUAUCAGAUACUACACUACAGAUCGCUUCUCGGCCUUUUGGCUAAGACAGUGAUCCCCUCCGUUAUCUGUUUAUAUAUUGCCUAUUUAGUGGCAAUUAUAUAGCAGGUUAGGAGGAUAUUGCACCAUCUUUUUGGUAAGUUGGGGUCAA